rnacentral:lncRNA from 1 species
UCGUACCGGUGUCGAGUAGUCAGCGUUACUGGACAAAGGGUAGAAUAUGGUGUAAGUUUUUGCUUCUGGACAAUGAUAUGCAAUGCAUGUUUAUGAUAUGAAAAUGCAUGAAAUUUCGCCAUGUUUGCAAAGGAAUACAAAUAUUCAAGAUCAUUGACACGUCGGGUACGUCAGGAUAAAAGGAAGAAACAGAGGUUUU